rnacentral:tRNA from 1 species
GGAUGGGUGGCCGAGUGGUUGAAGGCACCGGUCUUGAAAACCGGCAGGCUCGCAAGGGUCUCGUGGGUUCGAAUCCCACCCCAUCCGCCA